AUGCCUCUAAGUCGUGCUUCGAAACGUGGGAGAUAUAGCCGCAUCGAGGGCGUUACAGUUGCGCUGAACACGGCGUUUGUGGCGCUACUUCCAAAGAAAGAGGGUGCAGCGAGAAUAACUGACUUUCGGCCGAUCAUUUUGAUACAUUCUUUUGCCAAGCUGGUGACCAAGGUUUUGUCAAUUAGACUGACAAAAGUGAUACACACAAUUGUCUCACCAGCGCAAUCGGCCUUCAUGAAGAAGAGGUGCAUCCAGGAUAGCUUCCUGUACGUGAAAAAUGGAGUACGAGCGUUGCACAGAAGCAGAACACCGUCGUUGCUGUUGAAGCUGGAUAUAUCAAAGGCGUUUGACAGUGUUUCCUGGGAUUACCUGCUGGAGCUGUUACAAGAGAUGGGCUUCAACGCUAGGUGGAGGGAUUGGGUGGCAUGGUUGCUUUCGACGUCGAGCUCUCAGUUCCUCCUAAACGGAAUGGCAAGGAGCAGGAUCAGGCACAGGAAAGGGCUCCGUCAGGGAGAUCCGUAG
rnacentral:rRNA from 1 species